AGGCUCUAACCUAUAGAGUAGAGAGGCGUUGGAAGAGUUGUUAUUAUAAGGAAUGGUAUCAUUUGGGAGUUGGGAGAACAUGAGUGACAUUGAUUACUAAGAAGCGCACCUGUUCUCUGCUCUCAUUGUCGGCCAAAACGGCAUAAAUCUGAAGGUCGUGAGAACCAGAUUCAAAACUAGUAAUUCUUUAUCACAUUUUCCGAUGCUUGGCCAAUUGCUUUGUCCUGUCGCAAAGACGAGAAAAUUUGAGGCGUUUUGCGGUGGACAAGAAGAUUUGAUAACUCCUAAGUAGAGGUGUUUUGGGUCAUUGGCAAACGUUUCAAAGAAGGGCGAGAAAGAAAAAAAGAAAAACCUUGUCUAAUACAAUGGAUCCCUAGAUCCAAUGCUGCAAUUAAGUUUCACAUUGUGAUAAACAUCUGGAGUUAUACUUUAUUCUUCUUUGUUACUUUCCCAGAGGAAGAGCAGGCCGAAAAGUCAUGUCUUUGAAGAAGGGAUGGAGGAGAUACGGAGUUGCAGUUGUUUGUUUGGUUCUAUUGUCCAUGCUCGUCCCGUUGGUCUUCUUGCUCGGACUUUAUGGAGGAUUCCAAACCAGCUACAUCACUGAUGAAGGUCCCUCAACAGUGACAGAUGAUUCCAGGCUUCGUAGUGUGCUUGAAAAUGACAAUUCUUCACUGGAAGCAGAGAGACAUAAUCCUAGUCACCAAGGUGAUCUUCCCAACGAAUCACAAUUAUUGCCGUUAAAGGUUUCCAAUGGUGGAGCUGUAACAAAGUUUCCAAAUUUCUCUGCAUCUGAUAUAAAGGCUGGUAUAAUUGUCAAAGAUUCUGGCCUUAAAGAUGGUCACAACUUUUCUAGGACAAUUCAUGGAAACCUGGAUAAAUUGCUGAAUAGGCAUCCAAUCUCAGGAGGAUCAGAUGUUCUGAAUUUCAGUUGGCAUUCUGCAAAAAGUGCAGGAUUGCCAGAGAAAUCUGAUGCUUCUUCAUUUACAGACAGCAGUAUCGAAAGUAAGCAGAGUGAAAAUUCAGCAGAGAGUAAUGUUAAAACAAACAGCAAUGGCAAUGGGUUCUCUGAUGACUCGGACAAAGCUUGUGAAGUGGCUCUGGGAAGUUACUGCAAAUGGAGUACUGAGCAUAGAGAAGAAAUGGGUGAUUCUUUGGUUAAAGUGUUAAAAAAUCAACUGUUUCUUGCAAGGGCUUAUUAUCCAAGUAUAAGCAAACAUCACAAUCGUGAGAAGAUCCAACAUGAGCUCAGGCAGCACAUCCAGAGCAUUGAACAUAUGCUAAGUGAGGCAACUGCAGAUGCUGAUCUUCCAGAAGGUGCACAGAAAAAGAAAAAGACUAUGGAAGUUGUUCUUGCAAGAAAUUACCCUCUUGAUUGUAAUAAUGUUGUAAAAAAGUUAGGACAAAUCCUAGAUCUUACUGAGGAUGAAGCUCACUUUCACAGAAAACAAAGUGUCUUUCUGUAUCAGCUAGCAGUCCAAACAAUGCCUAGAAGUCAUCAUUGCCUCUCAAUGAGAUUGACUGUAGAAUAUUUUCGAACUUAUGAAGGCAGUGUUGAAUCACCUUUGAGCAAGAAUUUGCAAGAUUUGAAUGUCUAUCAUUAUGCUAUUUAUUCUACCAAUAUCCUUGCAGCAUCCGUGGUCAUUAAUUCUACGAUUAUUCAUGCAAAGGAACCAGAGAAGCAUGUGUUUCAUUUAAUAACAGAUAGACAGAAUUACAUUGCAAUGAAGUUUUGGUUUCUGGAGAACACCUAUCGCAAUGCAACUGUCCAUGUUCAGAAACUUGAUGAUUUAAACCUUUUCCGUUCCAGCAACUCUAUGAUGGCUUCUAUAUCAUCAGAGGAGUUUCGUGUUGCAGUAGAGAGCUACCCUCAAAAAACUAGUGAUCCCUCUAUUUCAAAUAGGAAGAUUAAUUAUUUGUCUACCUUCAAUCAUCCUCAUUUUUUGCUUCCUGAAAUUUUACCAAGUUUGGACAAGGUACUUCUUUUGGAUGAAGAUGUAGUCGUGCAAAGGGAUUUAACACCUCUUUGGAGUAUUGAUUUGCAAGGAAAGGUAAAUGGUGCAGUGGAGGAUUGUGAAGUCAGGUUUCAUCAUUUAAGGAAAUACCUCAAUAGCUCAAAAUUUUUUGUGACUGGUUUUGAUGGAAAUCAAUGUACAUGGAUGUCUGGAAUGAAUAUUCUUGAUCUACAACAGUGGAGAAAGCAAGAUCUGACAAGACUUUACAAGAGAUGGCUAAAACUGCAAAACAGAUACAAAGUUCCAUGGAGGCUUGGGGCGUUACCUGCCAGUCUGACAACAUUCUAUAAUAUGACCUACAGCUUGGAUAAAUCGUGGCUUUCAGUUGGUUUGGGUCAUAACUUUGGAAUUGAUCAACAUGACAUUAAAAAAUCUGCUAUUUUGCAUUAUAAUGGUGCCUUGAAGCCUUGGUUAGAGAUAGGCAUAAAAAGGUACAAGCCCUAUUGGGCCAAGUACUUAAAACGAGAUGAUCACUUCAUGCUAGAUUGUAAUGUUAACAGAUAAUGUACCAUCAUAUGUGUACACAUUGCAUCUCAAGAGGAGAUGAAAUUUGUUCAGGCAUGGCAGUGAGUGAUGCUUUUGCAUAUGCCACAUUGGUUUUGCGAGUGCCUUAUUGGAGGCAAGCAUCAGAUGAACAUAUCUGCUUGUGGGCUAGACCUUUGAAAGAAAAUUAUUCUUUUAUUCAAUAUUGUAACAUCAUUUAUUAGGGGCUUCCAAUGCUGGAAGCUUCUCCAAUGUAGAACUGUGCUCUUGCAGGCUCCAGAGCAGUGUAGAGGACUAGAGGGGCACCUGGAUUGUGUAUUUAAAGUUCAUCUAGCAUGAUCUAGUUUCCAAUGAACAUUCAAGAUUAUUGUCAAGACUACUUAUGUGGCAGAGCUUCUGGGAAAUGCUACAAAAAGAGUUUGAUUUGUGUCUGCAGUUAUAUUUGAGUGAGAUUAAAGAAUUAUGUUACAGAUUAUACCCCAUUAAAUAGAAAGCUUCCCUUAUCAGACUGAAUUAAUGGCUUGAAGACAUGACUUUCGUGUGUACUAAUUGCAGAAAUUCAGGAUUAACACUGAAAUGGAUAUGUCAUAAGAGAUCUCAAAUGGACUAUUUGAUGAUUAGAAUGGGACCUCAAUGGCAUUUCUAUAGAAUGCCAUCGAGUACAGAUGCAUGAAUCUUCUAAAUUUUAAGUCACUCCCAUAGAAUAUAGAACUGCAAAUUUGUGGUGGUUUUUAUUUUUCC